UUGCUACAAUUAUAGUGUCGCA
rnacentral:siRNA from 1 species